CCUACGGGAGGCAGCAGUGGGGAAUCUUGCGCAAUGGGCGAAAGCCUGACGCAGCAACGCCGCGUGCGGGAAGAAGGCUCUCGGGUUGUAAACCGCUUUCAGCAGGAACGAAAAUGACGGUACUUGCAGAAGAAGGUGCGGCCAACUACGUGCCAGCAGCCGCGGUGACACGUAGGCACCAAGCGUUGUCCGGAUUUAUUGGGCGUAAAGAGCUCGUAGGCGGCUCGGUAAGUCGGGUGUGAAAACUUUGGGCUUAACCCAAAGCCUGCAUCCGAUACUGCUGUGACUAGAGUUCGGUAGGGGAGCGGGGAAUUCCUAGUGUAGCGGUGAAAUGCGCAGAUAUUAGGAGGAACACCGGUGGCGAAGGCGCCGCUCUGGGCCGAUACUGACGCUGAGGAGCGAAAGCGUGGGUAGCAAACAGGAUUAGAUACCCUGGUAGUCCACGCCGUAAACGUUGGGCACUAGGUGUGGGUUUCAACCAACGAAAUCCGCGCCGUCGCUAACGCAUUAAGUGCCCCGCCUGGGGAGUACGGCCGCAAGGUUAAAACUCAAAGGAAUUGACG
rnacentral:rRNA from 1 species